UGUAGUUCCAUAGCAUAUGAAACCUGUGGUAAGCGCUAAGGGAACUACAGCUUUGACGGGCUUGUCAAGCCGACCACUUCCGGGUUGCCGGUUUGGCGUUUGUGUAGGCUGGUAGGAUAUCAGCCCUGGCGUUAACGUGACUGGCGCAGACGCUGUUGGUAGCUGCUGGGCCAUUAAAUGUAAUUGUGCCAGAAUAUCAGGAACCCAUCCAUCCAUCCAUCCAUCCAGCUGGCAUUUGAGAAUGACCUCAGUAGAAAAUUCAAAGAAGAAUGGAAGGAGAUACUGCUGAGGAGGUUCCACUCAUCGAACAGAAGACUGCAGCUUUAUUGAGUAAAGUGAGCCUGGGGUUUUUAAAAGCGGAGACCGGGAGUCUUCGGGAGUGAACGCCGGAGAGACGACGGAACUGCACAGAAUUACCGAACUAAAAACAAAGGAUCUGUGUUACGUUGUGGCCAAGCGAAGCCGUGUGCUUAAUAAAAGAGCACGGAGUGCUAAAAAACCAAACCUUGUCUCACGUGAGUCUGUUGGAAGGCAGGAGGGGUGGCACUCACUUGCCACAAUAAUUAAUAAUUCAUAUGCUAUAUAUCUAUUAGGUAAGGAACAAUCAGAUGAUGCUCCAGUUGAGGCACAAGUUGAGGCAGCCGUAAGUGCAGAUGAAGAACAGCUCAGGGAUGUGCUAGCGGCCAGUGAGGUGCUAGAAACCAGGGAGGAAGCCAGAGAGGUGCUAGAGGCCAUGGAGGAUGCUGGAGAGGUGCGAGAAGAGUUUAGAGAGAUGCUUGAGACCUCAGAGAUGACCUAUGAGGAACCCAGGGAUGAUGUCAGAGAGGAGCUAGAAGCCGGGGAUGAUGUUGAGCAGCAACGAGGGAGAAAGAGAAAAAAGGGAACCUAACAAUUGGCAAAGGAAUCAACGCAAACGCUUAAGAAAUGCUGGCCUGAGCUACAUAAACAGCAAGAAGAAGUCAGUGCUAGCCAGGGCAGUAAAACCAAAGGAUUGCACGACAUGCAGAUACAAGUGCAACGCAAAAGUCGGAG